rnacentral:rRNA from 1 species
UCUGACGUUGAAGGACGAAGGCUUUGUGAAAUAAAAAGGAUUUGUUACCCAAGUAGUCUUUUGCAGAAAAUUAUGAAUGUCAUAGGAUAGAUAAAAAUUUAUUCUAUAAAUGAAAGUGUAAGCAUUCCACCUUAAGAGUAAUUUGGCAACAUUGGAACUGAAAUCAUUAGUCCGUUUCUGAAACAAGUAGUGAAGUAUGUUGUUUAAUUAGAUGUUCCGCAAAAAACCUCACCACUUUAAAAUUUUUUAAUUUGAAUAUAAAAUAUUUUUUUAUACAAGCGCUGCACGGUUGUCUUCAGUUAAUGUCGUGAGAUUCUGGUUAGUUCCAUUAAAUUAACGUAAACCCUUACUCUAUUUUUUUCAUAGAGUAGUUCACCACUAUAUUGGAUGUGAUAAGAGGUACUAAGACAAAUCAACAUGGCCUUAAUAUUGUGGGCUAUAGACGUGCCA